rnacentral:tRNA from 1 species
ACUUAAGUAGCUCAUAUGAGAGCAUGACAUUGAAGCUGUUAGGGAGGUUAUUGUAACCCUUAAGUA